rnacentral:rRNA from 1 species
GACGAACGCUGGCGGCGUGCUUAACACAUGCAAGUCGAGCGGUAAGGCCCUUUCGGGGGUACACGAGCGGCGAACGGGUGAGUAACACGUGGGUGACCUGCCUCUAGCUCUGGGAUAAGCCCGGGAAACUGGGUCUAAUACUGGAUAUGACUCCAUGACGCAUGUUGUGGGGUGGAAAGCCUUGUGCGGCUAGAGAUGGGCCCGCGGCCUAUCAGCUUGUUGGUGGGGGAUGGUCUACCAAGGCGACGACGGGUAGCCGGCCUGAGAGGGCGACCGGCCACACUGGGACUGAGACACGGCCCAGACUCCUACGGGAGGCAGCAGUGGGGAAUCUUGCGCAAUGGGCGAAAGCCUGACGCAGCGACGCCGCGUGA